UGUGAAAGAUUAAAAUCAAAUCUUACUUGAUCCUACAAGAUCUAUGAAAGGCAAUCGAUGAUAACUUUUCAGAAGGUAUGAAAGAGGCAGAGAGUGCAAUUUUCAAAAGCGUAACUGAUAAUGUCCUACACGAGAUUGCUGGUGAAAGCUCAGCGUCUGCGGCAUGGAAGAAAUUAGAAGAGUUGUACUCUGUCAAAUAGCUGACCAACAACCUGUAUAUGAAGAAAAGGCUUUACAAUAUGAGA
rnacentral:misc_RNA from 1 species